rnacentral:lncRNA from 1 species
CGGAUCCAUGGCUGAUCUCCGUACUCUCUGCAAUGAUCUUGAGGGGAAGUCUUCCUCCCUGCAAGAUGAGAGGGAUUCAGUUCUGAAAGCACUUGAAACGCAGAAAGCUGAAGCUGAGGAGCUGAGGCUGACUCUUGAGGAGCUUGAUGCUAAAGAUGCUGAGGUUGGAGUGUUGAGGGAUCAAUUGAAGAAGCUCCAUGGUUCCAUGGCUGAUCUCCGUACUCUCUGCAAUGAUCUUGAGGGGAAGUCUUCCUCCCUGCAAGAUGAGAGGGAUUCAGUUCUGAAAGCACUCGAAACGCAGAAAGCCGAAGCUGAGGAGCUGAGGUUGACUCUUGGGGAGCUUGAUGCUAAAGAUGCUGAGGUUCGAGUGUUGAGGGAUGAAUUGAAGAAGCUCCACGGUUCCAUGGCUGAUCUCCGUACUCGCUGCAAUGAUCUUGAGGGGAAGUCUUCCUCCCUGCAAGAUGAGAGGGAUUCAGUUCUGAAAGCACUCGAAACGCAGAAAGCCGAAGCUGAGGAGCUGAGGCUGACUCUUGGGGAGCUUGAUGCUAAAGAUGCUGAGGUUCGAGUGUUGAGGGAUGAAUUGAAGAAGCUCCAAGGAUCCAUGGCUGAUCUCCGUACUCUCUGCAAUGAUCUUGAGGGGAAGUCUUCCUCCCUGCAAGAUGAGAGAGAUUCAGUUCUGAAAGCACUCGAAACGCAGAAAGCCGAAGCUGAGGAGCUGAGGCUGACUCUUGGGGAGCUUGAUGCUAAAGAUGCUGAGGUUGGAGUGUUGAGGGAUGAAUUGAAGAAGCUCCACGGUUCCAUGGCUGAUCUCCGUACUCUCUGCAAUGAGCUUGAGGGGCAGUCUUCCUCCCUGCAAGAUGAGAGGGAUUCAGUUCUGAAAGCACUCGAAACGCAGAAAGCCGAAGCUGAGGAGCUGAGGCUGACUCUUGGGAAGCUUGAUGCUAAAGAUGC